rnacentral:rRNA from 1 species
UACAGAGGGGGCAAGCGUUAUUCGGAAUUACUGGGCGUAAAGGGCGCGCAGGCGGCUCUGAAAGUCAGAUGUGAAAAGCCCCCGGGCUUAACCUGGGAAUUGCAUUUGAUACUCUGGAGCUUGAGUACGGGAGAGGAGAGUGGAAUUCCCAGUGUAGAGGUGAAAUUCGUAGAUAUUGGGAAGAACACCGGUGGCGAAGGCGGCCAUCUGGACCGCAACUGACGCUGAGGCGCGAAAGCGUGGG